rnacentral:rRNA from 1 species
UACAGAGGAGCCAAGCGUUGUCCGGAUUGACUGGGCGUAAAGCGCACGCAGGCGGCAUCGCGCGUGGGGUGUGAAAUCUGGCCGCUUAACGGCCAGGCGCCAUCCCAUACGGCGAGGCUGGAGCGAUGCAGAGGUCGGUGGAAUUCCUGGUGUAGCGGUGGAAUGCGCAGAUAUCAGGAGGAACACCGGUGGCGAAGGCGGGUCUCUGGGCAGUAACUGACGCUGAGGAGCGAAAGCGUGGGGAGCGAACAGG